UCCCUGGCCAUCUAGUGGUUAGGACUCAGUGCUUUCAUUGCUGCAGCCCAGGUUCGAUUCCUGGUCUGGGAA
rnacentral:tRNA from 1 species